UCCCUUCCCGGUCGGGGACGAGGGUGACGAGGUGGUGCAUGGUUGUCGUCAGCCCGUGUCGUGAGAUGUUGGGUUAAGUCCCGCAACGAGCGCAACCCCUAUUGUUAGUUGCCAUCAUUCAGUUGGGCACUCUAGCGAGACUGCCGGUAAUAAACCGGAGGAAGUGGGGAUGACGUCAAAUCAUCAUGCCCCUUAUGACCUGGGCUACACACGUGCUACAAUGGUUGGUACAACGAGUUGCGAGUCGGUGACGGCGAGCUAAUCUCUUAAAGCCAAUCUCAGUUCGGAUUGUAGGCUGCAACUCGCCUACAUGAAGUCGGAAUCGCUAGUAAUCGCGGAUCAGCACGCCGCGGUGAAUACGUUCCCGGGCCUU
rnacentral:rRNA from 1 species